UACGUAGGGUGCAAGCGUUAAUCGGAAUUACUGGGCGUAAAGCGUGCGCAGGCGGUUUUGUAAGUCUGUCGUGAAAGCCCCGGGCUCAACCUGGGAAUUGCAUUCGAGACUGAAUAGCUAGGGUACGGUAGAGGGAAGCGGAAUUUCCGGUGUAGCGGUGAAAUGCGUAGAUAUCGGAAGGAACAUCAGUGGCGAAAAGCGGCUU
rnacentral:rRNA from 1 species